UAAUACCCAUAAAACCUAGCGGUCAAACACAAAAUGGUGCCAAUCGGGUGUUUUUAACACUCAUUUUAGAACCACUUCUCUCUCGGACAAGGAAUUAGACCACAAAUAACACAAAAUGUAAAACAGCAUAUUGUGAUUUUUGGUGGGUGAGUUACAAACGGAAAAAUCAACUGGAUGCUUAAUUUAAGGUCCAUGUUGCUGCUGUCAAUUGUGAGAAGAACAUUUACCACUGCAUUCAGUCUGAACCCCAGAAUAAGCAGGACAGCAUUACACAGGUGGAAAAAAAGCUUGCAAAAACAGUACWYCACAACACUGAAAUGUGUUACUGAGUCUAGAUGUUAUCAAAUGAGGGGAAGAACAAGUGAAGGAACCAGUAUAGGGAAAAUGGGUGACGGUAGGGUGGGUUUAUUGAGGGAAGAUGGAGAGUUCCAAAGAGUCCGAAGUUGAGGGAACAUAAAAGGCAUAGUGUGGAAUAAGGGGUAGCUAGAGGGAUAGAAUAAACAUAAAAAAGUGGUUGCUGCUGUGCUUUUUCACCCCUUGUAGGUCGUUGUCACAAAUAUCUGGCCCAUUUCCAAUCACACGGGGUCUCAGCGCGUGUCCCUCAACGUCAUUCAGUCUCAGUUGCAGCAUUCAAAUCAUGCUCAUCGUGUGUCUGAAUCGCAACAUUAAAGAUGAGUGAUCACAGCAUUUUAACAAAUUGAGCCUUACACAAUACAAAUUAAGAAUUGAGGACAGCAUUUUGUUGACAACAUGGUGGUUUACACUAUGUCUACUGUGUGUGAAUGAUGGAAGAAUCUUACCCCAACCAACAGCUGUAGGUCCAUUUGAGUGUGUGGUCACUUAGGCCUGCAUAUCAACCAGUACUGGGACCAUUAGAGACUUGGGAUGCUUGCUGCUUGAAUGUCUUCGGGUCUGUGUCUAUAAAGAUCAAGUACAAAAUGGA